AGCAGCUUGUGGUAAAUCAUCAGGGUCAUCAAUCCGUUGUUACUCAGACAACUAAGCACAUGUCAUAUAAUCAACAAACGCCACUGAUCAUCCAUACGAUCACGAUAUUUCUGGGGAACUCACUUGGUUGGCCACUUAUCACAUAUCUUUUACUUUCAUGUACCAGGUGGGGGUAUACAUCCCGGCCGACAAUGGUCUAAU